UGGGGAAUUUUGGACAAUGGGCGAAAGCCUGAUCCAGCAAUGCCGCGUGUGUGAAGAAGGCCUUCGGGUUGUAAAGCACUUUUGUCCGGAAAGAAAUCCUUGGCUCUAAUACAGUCGGGGGAUGACGGUACCGGAAGAAUAAGCACCGGCUAACUACGUGCCAGCAGCCGCGGUAAUACGCAGGGUGCAAGCGUUAAUCGGAAUUACUGGCGUAAAGCGUGCGCAGGCGGUUUGCUAAGACCGAUGUGAAAUCCCCGGGCUUAACCUGGGAACUGCAUUGGUGACUGGCAGGCUAGAGUAUGGCAGAGGGGGGUAGAAUUCCACGUGUAGCAGUGAAAAUGCGUAGAGAUGUGGAGGAAUACCGAUGGCGAAGGCAGCCCCCUGGGCAAAUACUGACGCUCAUGCACGAAAGCGUGGGGAGCAAACAGGAUU
rnacentral:rRNA from 1 species